rnacentral:rRNA from 1 species
GUCCUUGCCAAACCUGAAUACCCUCAAGGCACCAGAUCCUGUCUGAUCUUGAAAGGUAACCAGGGUCAGCCCUGGCUAGUACUUGGGUGGUAGACUGCCAAGGGAUGCCAGGUGCUGAAGGCU